rnacentral:lncRNA from 15 species
GACCUACUCCUUUUAAAGGCCACUUCUGCAGCCACUUUGAGCUGCCUGGGGGACUGCCUCACUAUGCUACAGCACAACGUUGUCCAGGCCUUCAACCAGAACCAAAACCAGAACCAGAACCACAUCUCUAGUCCAAGCCCCAGCCACAGUUCAGCUGGUUUUAUUCAGGCAUCUCCCACAGGAAGAGUCAAAUCAUGGAGUCAGAACUGCAGCUCAAGCAUGAACCAGUUGGGGCAUGGUGGCCUUAGGUCUGGCAGUCUAAGCCCGACUCACAGCUUUAGUGAGAGCCGAAGUCCAAAACACAGCAACUACAGUGGAAGACGAGGACAUGGCCAGAACCAGAGCCAGAACCAUGCACAUGCAGAUAGUUCUACUGGAUUGUCCAGAUCUUCUGAAAAGCAGGGGGAAAAUGGUGCACAAACACCUCUCUCGUCCUCUAACUGGUCUUCUUUCACUCAAACACACAAGGACCUGGAAUCCUCAUCUGAGGUAAUCCAAACCACAAAACUUUAUUAUGUACCUUGUUCACUUUCUAAUUUUAUCUUACAUGAUGGCAACUUUGGCAAAGUUUCUUUGACAAUUGUUAAAUGAAAACCAUUACUCUCAAAUGCAGUUAUUAUUCUCACACUACUGUAUGUGACUAGUGAUUACACUGCUUUUCAAAUGAUUUUUUUUACUCUCAUGUGAAUUUAUCAACAUACAUUCCCCAGAAUGCAAAAUUAGUUUUCUGUAGAAACCACAUUUACUGAAAGCCUUGUACUUAGUCUUUCUCACCCAACCUGGAAAACACUUCAGCCAGUUCUGUUUGUUAUAGUGUACUGCGCUCCUGGACCAUACUCUGAUUUUUUUAUCUGAAUUCUCAGAGUUUUUUAUCAAGUUUAGUCCUUAAAACAGAGAAAGUAAUUAUUGUCGGUGAUUUUAAUGUUCAUGUGAAUAUUGACAAUAACAGCCUUAGUAAUGCAUUCAUCUCAUUAUUAGACUCAAUUGGCUUCGGUCAGAAUGUAAAUAAACCCACCUAUUGUCUUAAUCACACUCUUGACCUUGUUCUAUCAUAUGUCAUUGAUAUUUAACACAUUUAACACUUCCCACAUUUAACACUUCCCACAUAAUCCUUUUCUAUCUGACCAUUAUUUAAUAACUUUUGAAUCCCUUUUACUAGACUAUAGACCAUUAGGCAAAACAUCCCACAGCAGAUGUCUAUCUGACAGUGCUGUAGCUAAAUUUAAGGAGGGGAUUACAUCAGUGUUUAAUUCAAUGCCAUGUCUGGAUAUAACAAAGUCCUAUAACAACCUUAGUCGCUCCCAAAUUGAUCAUCUUGUUAAUAGCUGCAGGCUCACUACGAACAACCCUAUAUUCUAUUGUCCCUAUUAAAAGGAAAAUAUUAAAACAUAGGAGGCUAGCAAAAAACAAAAAGUGUGGAAAUCUGAAAGGAAAUGGCGUUCCUCGAAACUAUUAGAAUCACGUUCAAUCUGGCAAGAUAGUCUUAAAACAUAUAGAAAGGCCCUCCAUAAUGCCAAAGCAGCCUAUUAUUUUGUUGUUGCUGUGCACUUGUCUGUCUGUCUGUCUCUCUCUCUCUUAUCUCUCUCUCUCUCACCCCAACUGGUCGAGGCAGAAGACCACCCACCUAGAGCCCAAGGGUCUGUCCUAGGUUUCAGCCUUUUAACAGGCAGUUUUUCCUUGCCCCCGUCGCCAAGUGCUUACUCAUGGUGGUACUGUUGGGUCUCUGUAAAUGUUAUAACGAGUUCGGUCUAGACCUGCUCUAUUUGAAAAGUGUCCUGAGAUAACUUAUGUUAUGAAUUGGCGCUAUACAAAUAAAAUUUAAUUGAACUGAAUAUCUUAAAGAGCUCAUAGCCAUCAACCUGUCUCUUAGACACCCCAAAGUCUUACCCUUAGUUGGCACUUCUUUACUGGAUAUGAUCAAUCUUUCUUCUACUGUCAGGUUAUGUACCACAGUCCUUUAAAGUAGCUGUAAUUAAACCCCUUCUUAAAAAGCUCACUCUUGACCCAGGGGUUUUAGCCAACUAUAGACGAUUUCUAACCUCCCCUUCUUCUCUAAGAUUCUCGAGAAAGUAGUCGCCAAACAGUUGUGUGACUUUUUACAUAGCAACAGCUUAUUUGAGGAUUUUCAGUCAGGAUUUAGGGUGCAUCAUAGCACAGAGACAGCACUGGUCAAAGUUAAUAACGACCUUUUAUUUGCUUCAGACAAGUAACUUGUCUCUGUACUUGUAUUGUUAGAUCUUAGUGCUGCAUUUUACACCAUUGGUCAUAAUAUUCUAUUACAGACUUGACCAUCUAAUUGGCAUUAAAAGAACCACACUAAGCUGGUUUAAGUCCUAUUUAUCAGAUAGUUUUCAGUUUGUACAUGUUAACGAUGAAUCCUCCAUAAGCACUAAAGUUACCCAUGGAGUUCCACAAGGUUCUGUGCUUGGACCAAUUUUAAUCACCUUAUAUAUGCUACCGUUAGGCAACAUUACUCAGAAUUACUCCAUUAACUUUCAUAGUUAUGCAGAUGGUAAAUGGUAAAUGGACUGUACUUAUAUAGCGCCUUUCUAGUCUUUCGACCACUCAAUGUGCUGUACAUUGCAGUGGCUGCCAUCAGUGGUGUAGCGCAAGGUGUAGCUGCUCACCAGAGCUUUUACACUACAUUCACUCAGCAAUGGCAAAGCACAUCAAACAUAAACUAACUCAUUCAUAC